rnacentral:lncRNA from 1 species
GUUGAAGCUGAGUUCCACUUGGUCACAGCAGAAGAAGCCGAGAAAAACCCUGUUGGGAAAGCCCGGAAGGAGCCCGAGCCCUUGGCCAAGCCCAACCGCCCAGACACCUCCUUCUCGUGGUUCGUGAGCCCCUUCAAGUGCCUGUACCACCUCAUCUGGAAGAACUACAAGAAGUACAUCAUCAUCGCGUUCAUUCUGCUCAUCCUGGUCGUCUUUCUGGUCCUCUUCAUCUACACCCUGCCCGGGGCCAUCAGCCGGAGGAUCGUCGUGGGAGGCUCGUAGGGCUCCCAGCGGUGGUGGAGAGCAUGGGAGGCUCCCAGGGGCGGUGGAGAACACAGGCCCCAUCAGCAUUGCUCUCCCGGUUUCCUGUGUGAGCCUCUACGAUCACGGGCUGGGGGAGGUGCUGCGGUGAACGCUAAGGAAUAGACUUAAAAGAGCCAAUGACCCCCCCUGGGUCCCAGGACAAACCAGGUUUUCUCUAGGAAGACAGCCUCUGGCGGUCUCUCUGCCCCCGUCCCUUCUGCUGUCCUUCAAACCCCUAAAUCCCAAAUCUUGCCAUUGCCCAGGAGUAACCCAAAACAAUGACUCUUUCACUCUGGGCUAAUCAACCGUGACCUCAGCGAAACUUUCCUCGUGUAAUAGAGUCUAUUCAAAACAAUUAAACUCUGAGUCUGAGAUUUUAUUAGAAGUUUCAUAUUUCAAGUUGUUGUGUCCAAGACCCCAUUAGCUCGGGCCCUUCAUCCAACCACCUCAGUGGAUGGCUGGAGAAAAGACCCCAAGAUACCACGAGACAGGG